GGAACAAUUUGGAAUCAUAUCUUUUAUCAAACAUUAAUAAAAGUAGUUCUAACAAAUAAUAAAAAUAGGGCUAAUUGAAAGUUAUGACGUGACUCACAAUUGAGUCUAAAUUUAAAAAUAAUAAUAAUCAACUGUUAUUAAAUAUUCUAGUAUUUCUAAAAAUUAAAGUACUUCAUGAUGAAGAUCCAUUGGUCCAAUAUGCAUCCAUCCACCGCCGUCCAGCAUACUAAUUUCUACCUGAAAAUUGUAAAUAGAGAGGGAUGAGUAUAACGAAUUAUACUCAAUGAGAUGCUUGCUACUCCACUUUCAAAUCAAACGUGAAAUUAUGCAUAAAUUCUCUUACCAACAUAAAAUGAGAAUUAUCACACCAUGACAAAUGAUAAUUCAAGCAAGCGCUGCAAAUAACGUGAAGGCUAAAUUGUGCCUUAAACUGUAUCAUGAUUUCUCCCAAAGGAGCUCUGAACUGAAGUAAUUAAAUCCAUACACAACAACGUAUUUGAAAAAAUGUGGACAAACCACUAAUAGCACUGAGCAUCUCACCUUUUGAAGAUGAACGUGGAAAACAAAAUUGCUGAAAACGUGAUUCUUUAUUGAAAUUCCAAAGCCUUAAAAAGCCUUAAUAAUAUGGAGAAAUAUUUUUAAAGAGGAGGAGAGAAUAAAGACUUGUAGAAGAA
rnacentral:lncRNA from 1 species